GGAGAGAUGGCUCAGUGGUUAAGAGCACUGGCUGCUCUUCCAGAGGUCCUGAGUUCAAUUCUCAGCAACUACA
rnacentral:tRNA from 1 species